rnacentral:rRNA from 1 species
UGACCCGUCUUGAAACACGGACCAAGGAGUCUAGCGUGUGCGCGAGUCAUUGGGAUAACACUAAACCUAAAGGCGAAAUGAAAGUAAAGGUUCGCCCAGCGCGAACCGAGGGAAGACGGUCGAUCCCUUAAAGGUCGGCCCGCAUUCCCGGGGCGUCUCGUUCUCAUUGCGAGAAGAGGCGCACCAAGAGCGUACACGCUGGGACCCGAAAGAUGGUGAACUAUGCCUGGUCAGGACGAAGUCAGGGGAAACCCUGAUGGAGGUCCGUAGCGAUUCUGACGUGCAAAUCGAUCGUCGGAACUGGGUAU